rnacentral:rRNA from 1 species
CAGUAGCCGCGGUAAUACAGAGGGUGCGAGCGUUAAUCGGAUUUACUGGGCGUAAAGCGUGCGUAGGCGGCUUUUUAAGUCGGAUGUGAAAUCCCUGAGCUUAACUUAGGAAUUGCAUUCGAUACUGGGAAGCUAGAGUAUGGGAGAGGAUGGUAGAAUUCCAGGUGUAGCGGUGAAAUGCGUAGAGAUCUGGAGGAAUACCGAUGGCGAAGGCAGCCAUCUGGCCUAAUACUGACGCUGAGGUACGAAAGCAUGGGGAGCAAACUGGAUUAGAUACCCGCGUAGUCCCUGUCUCUUAUAC